GAUGAACGCUGGCGGCGUGCCUAAUACAUGCAAGUCGAGCGAACAGACGAGGAGCUUGCUCCUCUGACGUUAGCGGCGGACGGGUGAGUAACACGUGGAUAACCUACCUAUAAGACUGGGAUAACUUCGGGAAACCGGAGCUAAUACCGGAUAAUAUAUUGAACUGCAUGGUUCAAUAGUGAAAGACGGUUUUGCUGUCACUUAUAGAUGGAUCCGCGCCGCAUUAGCUAGUUGGUAAGGUAACGGCUUACCAAGGCAACGAUGCGUAGCCGACCUGAGAGGCUGGUCGGCCACACUGGAACUGAGACACGGUCCAGACUCCUACGGGAGGCAGCAGUAGGGAAUCUUCCGCAAUGGGCGAAAGCCUGACGGAGCAACGCCGCGUGAGUGAUGAAGGUCUUCGGAUCGUAAAACUCUGUUAUUAGGGAAGAACAAAUGUGUAAGUAACUAUGCACGUCUUGACGGUACCUAAUCAGAAAGCCACGGCUAACUACGUG
rnacentral:rRNA from 1 species